CACCUCUAUAUGGUCCAUUUACACGGUUCUCGGCACAUCACGUUUCCUCCUGGAGUCUUAAUAUAAGGCUCAGAACUUUGGAUGUAAAUGAGUAGUCUCCAAGUAACUUGUUAUUUUCCAGCCAUAUCAAAGGUAUCCAUCUAAACAUGUUUCCAACAUCGCCUCCAUAUGGUCCACUUUCACUGAUCUCUGCGUAUCUCUUUCCCUCCUGGAGUCUGGGUGAUGAACAACAUAAGGUGCUUCCGUUGAAGAAAUUUUUUGGCAAACUGCU